rnacentral:snoRNA from 1 species
AACCCAUGAUUUGGGUAUUUUCUUAGCAUCACUUUGAACCUUUCCCAUGUUUCAUAGAAGGCUUCAUUUGAUCCUGUCUGAACAUAGAAAUAUCAAACUUUGCUU